rnacentral:tRNA from 1 species
GCCCAGGUGGCGGAAUUGGCAGACGCACUACUUUGAGGUGGUAGCGCCCGUAAGGGCGUGCAGGUUCGAGUCCUGUCCUGGGCA